CCAGCGAUUUUCUAGGCACAACAACAACACGGAGGACUGCACGCGAUACCCAUACAAGAAGAUAACAGUUCUUGCGUUCAACAUCCUUUACCUACCCUGGAGUACAGCAAUGACUCUCCAUGUGCACGCGUCUAUUCCCCUUUGCAGCCGCAGUAUCCUUAUAUUUCAGAUGGUAACGUCGACGUCGUGGACAAUGAGAACUGGGUGCAUAGUUAUGGAAUUACUCAGUAUCCUGAGAACACAUUGAUUGGAAUGACAGGCUCAAUAGUUAAACAAGUUGAAACUACAAAGGAUGAUGUUCUUGAUGUGGCUAAGAUAGUGGAUGACGAUGACUCGGAGAUUUCCGAGACCUUUGUAAAAGCAUCAUUAGGUGACAUCAUGGAGGUCUACGACUCGGAUGAUGGGAUGAUCUUAGGGUAGAAGCUAUUGUUUUCAUCUUAGAUUGUACUAAUCAGUCUGCUCCAUGUUUUGUGGCAUGAUAUUGGGGUUUUUAUGCUGUAUUUGUUGUGUCUUGAGAUUAUUUAAUGGUUUGGAGAUUGUUUAGUGGUAUGAACUUUUUGUUGAAUGUUGAAUGUUGUGAAAUGUUGAAUGUUGAAUGUUGAAUGUUGUCUGAA